rnacentral:tRNA from 1 species
UUUUAUAUAACUUGUUCCUAUACGUACAUUUCUGAAAAAAAUGAGAACCUGUAAAGGCCUAAAAA